rnacentral:rRNA from 1 species
UAAGCUUGACAUCCUUUUGACCGAUGCCUAAUCGCAUCUUUCCUUUCGGGGACAGAAGUGACAGGUGGUGCAUGGUUGUCGUCAGCUCGUGUCGUGAGAUGUUGGGUUAAGUCCCGCAACGAGCGCAACCCUUGCCUUUAGUUGCCAUCAUUAAGUUGGGCACUCUAGAGGGACUGCCAGGGAUAACCUGGAGGAAGGUGGGGAUGACGUCAAAUCAUCAUGCCCCUUAUGCUUAGGGCUACACACGUGCUACAAUGGGUGGUACAGAGGGCAGCCAAGUCGUGAGGCGGGGCUAAUCCCUUAAGGCCAGUCUCAGUUCGGAUUGUAGGCUGAAACUCGCCUACAUGAAGCUGGAGUUACUAGUAAUCGCAGAUCAGAAUGCUGCGGUGAAUGCUUUCCCGGGUC